rnacentral:rRNA from 1 species
AGCGUACACGGUGGAUGCCCUGGCAGUCAGAGGCGAUGAAGGACGUGCUAAUCUGCGAUAAGCGUCGGUAAGGUGAUAUGAACCGUUAUAACCGGCGAUUUCCGAAUGGGGAAACCCAGUGUGAUUCGUCACACUAUCAUUAACUGAAUCCAUAGGUUAAUGAGGCGAACCGGGGGAACUGAAACAUCUAAGUACCCCGAGGAAAAGAAAUCAACCGAGAUUCCCCCAGUAGCGGCGAGCGAACGGGGAGCAGCCCAGAGCCUGAAUCAGUGUGUGUGUUAGUGGAAGCGUCUGGAAAGGCGCGCGAUACAGGGUGACAGCCCCGUACACAAAAAUGCACAUACUGUGAGCUCGAUGAGUAGGGCGGGACACGUGGUAUCCUGUCUGAAUAUGGGGGGACCAUCCUCCAAGGCUAAAUACUCCUGACUGACCGAUAGUGAACCAGUACCGUGAGGGAAAGGCGAAAAGAACCCCGGCGAGGGGAGUGAAAAAGAACCUGAAACCGUGUACGUACAAGCAGUGGGAGCACGCUUAGGCGUGUGACUGCGUACCUUUUGUAUAAUGGGUCAGCGACUUAUAUUCUGUAGCAAGGUUAACCGAAUAGGGGAGCCGAAGGGAAACCGAGUCUUAACUGGGCGUUAAGUUGCAGGGUAUAGACCCGAAACCCGGUGAUCUAGCCAUGGGCAGGUUGAAGGUUGGGUAACACUAACUGGAGGACCGAACCGACUAAUGUUGAAAAAUUAGCGGAUGACUUGUGGCUGGGGGUGAAAGGCCAAUCAAACCGGGAGAUAGCUGGUUCUCCCCGAAAGCUAUUUAGGUAGCGCCUCGUGAAUUCAUCUCCGGGGGUAGAGCACUGUUUCGGCAAGGGGGUCAUCCCGACUUACCAACCCGAUGCAAACUGCGAAUACCGGAGAAUGUUAUCACGGGAGACACACGGCGGGUGCUAACGUCCGUCGUGAAGAGGGAAACAACCCAGACCGCCAGCUAAGGUCCCAAAGUCAUGGUUAAGUGGGAAACGAUGUGGGAAGGCCCAGACAGCCAGGAUGUUGGCUUAGAAGCAGCCAUCAUUUAAAGAAAGCGUAAUAGCUCACUGGUCGAGUCGGCCUGCGCGGAAGAUGUAACGGGGCUAAACCAUGCACCGAAGCUGCGGCAGCGACGCUGAUGCGUUGUUGGGUAGGGGAGCGUUCUGUAAGCCUGCGAAGGUGUGCUGUGAGGCAUGCUGGAGGUAUCAGAAGUGCGAAUGCUGACAUAAGUAACGAUAAAGCGGGUGAAAAGCCCGCUCGCCGGAAGACCAAGGGUUCCUGUCCAACGUUAAUCGGGGCAGGGUGAGUCGACCCCUAAGGCGAGGCCGAAAGGCGUAGUCGAUGGGAAACAGGUUAAUAUUCCUGUACUUGGUGUUACUGCGAAGGGGGGACGGAGAAGGCUAUGUUGGCCGGGCGACGGUUGUCCCGGUUUAAGCGUGUAGGCUGGUUUUCCAGGCAAAUCCGGAAAAUCAAGGCUGAGGCGUGAUGACGAGGCACUACGGUGCUGAAGCAACAAAUGCCCUGCUUCCAGGAAAAGCCUCUAAGCAUCAGGUAACAUCAAAUCGUACCCCAAACCGACACAGGUGGUCAGGUAGAGAAUACCAAGGCGCUUGAGAGAACUCGGGUGAAGGAACUAGGCAAAAUGGUGCCGUAACUUCGGGAGAAGGCACGCUGAUAUGUAGGUGAAGUCCCUCGCGGAUGGAGCUGAAAUCAGUCGAAGAUACCAGCUGGCUGCAACUGUUUAUUAAAAACACAGCACUGUGCAAACACGAAAGUGGACGUAUACGGUGUGACGCCUGCCCGGUGCCGGAAGGUUAAUUGAUGGGGUUAGCGCAAGCGAAGCUCUUGAUCGAAGCCCCGGUAAACGGCGGCCGUAACUAUAACGGUCCUAAGGUAGCGAAAUUCCUUGUCGGGUAAGUUCCGACCUGCACGAAUGGCGUAAUGAUGGCCAGGCUGUCUCCACCCGAGACUCAGUGAAAUUGAACUCGCUGUGAAGAUGCAGUGUACCCGCGGCAAGACGGAAAGACCCCGUGAACCUUUACUAUAGCUUGACACUGAACAUUGAGCCUUGAUGUGUAGGAUAGGUGGGAGGCUUUGAAGUGUGGACGCCAGUCUGCAUGGAGCCGACCUUGAAAUACCACCCUUUAAUGUUUGAUGUUCUAACGUUGACCCGUAAUCCGGGUUGCGGACAGUGUCUGGUGGGUAGUUUGACUGGGGCGGUCUCCUCCUAAAGAGUAACGGAGGAGCACGAAGGUUGGCUAAUCCUGGUCGGACAUCAGGAGGUUAGUGCAAUGGCAUAAGCCAGCUUGACUGCGAGCGUGACGGCGCGAGCAGGUGCGAAAGCAGGUCAUAGUGAUCCGGUGGUUCUGAAUGGAAGGGCCAUCGCUCAACGGAUAAAAGGUACUCCGGGGAUAACAGGCUGAUACCGCCCAAGAGUUCAUAUCGACGGCGGUGUUUGGCACCUCGAUGUCGGCUCAUCACAUCCUGGGGCUGAAGUAGGUCCCAAGGGUAUGGCUGUUCGCCAUUUAAAGUGGUACGCGAGCUGGGUUUAGAACGUCGUGAGACAGUUCGGUCCCUAUCUGCCGUGGGCGCUGGAGAACUGAGGGGGGCUGCUCCUAGUACGAGAGGACCGGAGUGGACGCAUCACUGGUGUUCGGGUUGUCAUGCCAAUGGCACUGCCCGGUAGCUAAAUGCGGAAGAGAUAAGUGCUGAAAGCAUCUAAGCACGAAACUUGCCCCGAGAUGAGUUCUCCCUGACUCCUUGA